rnacentral:rRNA from 1 species
UACGUAGGGUGCGAGCGUUAAUCGGAAUUACUGGGCGUAAAGCGUGCGCAGGCGGUUUUGUAAGACAGGUGUGAAAUCCCCGGGCGUUAACCUGGGAACGUGCGCUUGUGACUGCAUGGCUAGAGUACGGUAGAGGGGAGUGGAAUUCCGCGUGUAGCAGUGAAAUGCGUAGAUAUGUGGAGGAACACCGAUGGCGAAGGCAAUCCCCUGGACCUGUACUGACGCUCAUGCACGAAAGCGUGGGGAGCAAACAGGAUUAGAUACCCUAGUAGU